UUAAGUUCAGCGGGUAUCCCUACCUGAUCCGAGGUUAACCAUAAAAGUUAAGGGUUAAUAGCAAGUAUACACCUAGACACUAUAGCGAGAAAAUUUACUACGCUUAGAGCCAAAUGGCACCGCUACUGAUUUUAAGGGCUGCUGGGUAGGCAUGCCCCAACACCAAGCAAAGCUUGAGGGGUUUAAAUAACGCUCGAACA
rnacentral:misc_RNA from 1 species